rnacentral:rRNA from 1 species
UACGGAGGGGGCUAGCGUUGUUCGGAAUUACUGGGCGUAAGGGGCGCGUAGGCGGCACUGUUAGUCAGGCGUGAAAGUCCUGGGCUCAACCUGGGAACUGCGCUUGAUACGGCAGAGCUAGAGGAUGGAAGAGGCUCGCGGAAUUCCCAGUGUAGAGGUGAAAUUCGUAGAUAUUGGGAAGAACACCGGUGGCGAAGGCGGCGAGCUGGUCCAUUACUGACGCUGAGGCGCGACAGCGUGGGGAGCAAACAGG